GUGUUGUUUGUGUUUGUUUUCACAACCUUAAGUUUCACUAUCACUUUUCAAACAAAGUUAUUAUAAGCAAAAACACAAUCUUUCUCCCAAAACUUUACUAAGUAGUUUUGUUGCCUAAAUCUAAAGAAGCUGUUUUGUUUGCGUUCAAAA